CAAUCAUACCACAUUGAAACACCAGUUCUCGUAUGAUCACCAAAGUUAAGCAACAUUAAGUCUAGUUAGUACCUAGAUGGUUGACCACUUAGGAAUACCAGGUUCUGCAA